UAAGUUGGAGUUUCCGCCUACAAGUAAAAUUACUGUAUAUUUAGUACGCUACAUUCUUCUGUCGGCCGCCAGUUUGUCCGUACGCUAGGAUUAAAUUGCGCUUUAAAACGUUCAACAUAAAAAUACUCUCAAAAUGAAGAGAGAAGUGAGACGAAUCCACUGGUAUACGGCCGAAAAAGAGAAAACCAACGAUACCAAAGUUAUCAAGGAUCAAACGUGAAACGUGCUGUAUUUUUUAUAAUUAGUUGAAUAAUUUUGAGCGAUUUGUCAACAAUUUCGCUUGGCUUUAAAAGACAAAAGCCAUACAUCGCUAGAAUACCGUUGUUUAGUAUUACAUUUGACAUCCGUAAGUACACUUUGUUACGCUGAAUCGAACCGUGGUAUUUUUAUC